GCAAACUUGGUCAUUUAGAGGAAGUAAAAGUCGUAACAAGGUCUCCGUUGGUGAACCAGCGGAGGGAUCAUUACAGAGUUUACAACUCCCAAACCCACUGUGAACCUUACAGCGUCGUUGCCUCGGCGGACCGCCCCCGGCGCGGCCCCUCUCAGGGGGCGCCCGGGACCACGGCGCCCGCCGGAGGACCCAAAACUCUUGUAUUUGCAGGAUGCAUUGCUCUGAGUGAAAACAAGCAAAUGAAUCAAAACUUUCAACAACGGAUCUCUUGGUUCUGGCAUCGAUGAAGAACGCAGC
rnacentral:misc_RNA from 1 species